rfam:Laribacter hongkongensis HLHK9, complete genome.
CGCGGUCAUGCAGGAGAGCGUGCUGGCGGCCCGUACCGCCAGCACCGCCGAAGGCGCAAGCACACCCGCAAUCGCUCAGGCAAAAGGACUGCAUGAAGGGA